CACUGAGAAGAGGGGUAUAAAAGGCUGCGAGCAUAAGAAAAGCCAAAGUUAAGAAUAAGACGUUACCGGUGAAACUUAGCUAGAGAGCAGUGCAGAAGUGGAAAAAUUUAAUUUGUGUGUUGCGAUUUUUUUUUAUUGUGAAUAUUCCGGUGGUGUAUCAAGCUUUUUUGGAAGCACCGAAAAUUGUCCGGUUUUGGUCAGCACAACGGCGGGAAAUUGCCUUUUCUUUUUGGUAACGCAAGGUAGUGGCAAGUUGUCCACAGGAGAAAAAAGCCAAAAAAAGUUACAUUGAGGGUGUGGAGAUUUGAAUUGUAAACUGGCCAGCUGCAACUUUGAGCUUUUUGCUGUGCCUGUUAUUGAUCCCGCCCAGAACGCCGGCAGUGUAAAAGGACCAGUCAACAAGUCCAGCUUCAUUUGAGGGUUUGCCUGGCGUUCAAAAUCUGUUUCCUCCGGAAAGAAGCGUAAACUGGAAGGGGAGAUAAGAAGAAUUAAUCAAUAACGUUAUAAAUCACUGCUCAGGUAAAAGGUGUCUUACCGUUGUGUUGUCCUUGAUAUAUUUAUAUAUAUGUGACGUCCAUAAAGUUUGCUGUCUCCUUUUUUGGAACUAAAAGAAAAGAAAAAAAGAGUUAAUAAUCAUAAAUUUCGAGAAAAAAAAAUUAUAAUAUUCAGUAUAAAAAUUUGGUAAUAAGAUAGGUUAUAGUUCUUAGGAUUUAAGUAAUAAUCAAUCUGUAAGGGAAAAAUACCGCGUUUAUUUUCAAAGGCUAGGAGGUGUUACAGUAAAAUUAUCUUGAGUCCUUGUGAUUCGAUCUGAUAGUUUAGGCCGUGGAAUUUUAGCGGCAAUUAGGCCAGUUAAGAGAGCUCUUUUAGGUGGCUAGUAAUUUCGUAUAGACGCGUGAAUAUUGCGCGGGAAAAGCAAGGCAAAGGAUAAUAUAUUGGUUUCUACCGAGUAAUUAAAGCCAUAGAUUUAAGAAAGCCCGGUAUUAUUCUUAAUUUGUUUUUUUUUAUACCAUACAGUUUGUCAAUUUUAGUGUAAGAAAAAAAAAUAGUAGAGAAAAAAAUUAAGAAAAUAUUUAAAGCUAACUUAUUUUUUUUAAUAAAAUUAAAAAUGAUUCUUUUGUAAACAGUAGAUACUAAUAUGUGUUGCUAAAUUUGUAUAACUUGGGGGGAAGGUGGUAUGAAGUAAGUGUGUGAUUCGAAGCGUGUGGUUUAAGGGGAUUCAGAGAAACGCAAGAAAUGGAAAUACUGGAUCCAGGUAGGGUGGGCGAGUGUGGGAUCGAUCCACCGAGAUCCCUGUAUGAUGACUCCUAUUUUGUAUAUCGUAGAGUAGAGCAAUUGUAGUAAAGUCCCCUUUCAAUGUUAGUGUGUUGGAUUCGAUUGGCGGGUUGAGAUCCCUAGCCCUGGAAGUCUCUGUGACAGUCGGAUGGCCUAAUCGUAUGCCGAGCAUAUGCACACAUAACAGAGAUGGCGCCCAAUAUUCUAAAAUAAAGCUUUAUUGUACCUAAUACCACUGUAAAAAAUGGCGACUCAAACAUGGCCGUUGUAAACUGUGAUAUUAGGUUAGUAACUCUGUGCAAUAAUAUCGACGCACACAGCCAUAGAAUGCUAGUAGAUUUUAAAUAGACAAAAGAAAAUGUUUUUGACAAAUAAUAUUCUGUGAUAUUAGUAUGCAUCCGAACUUUAGAGAGAUGGGUUACGAAGUGCGAUAUUACUAUAUCAAAUAUAUUAUGGGAACGUUUUCUCCACUGUUCUAAGUAGGGUGUAAUCAAUAGCUUGUAAUUCCGAGCUGGAAUAAAACAAUUUGUAUUGAGAAUCCUACUGUUAAAAUUUGUUUUUGUGAAAUAACCCAAAUAAAUUAUAGACGGGAAUAAGUACUUCGAGUAGCAGCAAUAGCGAUUUUGAUCUGAGAGAUGCAAAAAUCCAAGUAUUGCAUAUAAAAACCCUGAGCUUUCAUUUAUAAAAUGUAAUAGAUAUGUCAUGGGUCCGAAGUUAACGAAGCACUAUAAUUUAUGAGAAGAAUAAGAAUGUCUAAAGGAAAAGUCAUACACCUCAUAAAGGGCACUAAAAUUAUUAUUAAAAACAGUAAAAAAAAAAAAAAAAAAAAAAAAAAAAAAAAAAAAAAAAAAAAAAAAAAAAUAAAAUAAAUAAAAAAAAAAAAAAAAAAACCACACACACACUGCUUCUGAAAAUUACACUUCCCCCGUAGAUCUAUGUUGUAAUUGUCAAAUUUGAAAAUUUGUAUGUGUAAUUGUAAUCGAAUGUAUUUAUAAAAAGUAUUUGUUUUGCCGAUGUUUCAUAUUUGAAAAAAAGGUUAACUGAAUUUAAAACUUACUUACAAGAAAAGGUUUCGUCCGAGAUUCAAUUGAUAGCAAAUGAGAAGAUAAAUUUUGGGUAUAGGUCAUGAUCUACAAUACCCGCAAUAGUAAAAGAAAUAA